rnacentral:rRNA from 1 species
UUAAAUUGAAGAGUUUGAUCAUGGCUCAGAUUGAACGCUGGCGGCAGGCCUAACACAUGCAAGUCGAACGGUAACAGGAAGCAGCUUGCUGCUUUGCUGACGAGUGGCGGACGGGUGAGUAAUGUCUGGGAAACUGCCUGGUGGAGGGGGAUAACUA